AUGCACAGCGAAGGCAGAGCCGGCUCCUUGGGAUCGCAGGCAGCCCUCGGAGCAGCACCCCUGCCGCGUGUCAUCGAAAACCGGCACUUAUUCGUUCACCACAAAGCAAAAGAAACUCCUGAACCUGUGAGGAGGAAGAGUGUGCACGCGUGUGUACAUGUGCAUGUGUGUACACGUGCACGUGUGUGUGUGAUAACGGCAGCAUCCCAUGGCCCUGCUGGCGAGCAGGUGGCAUGUGCGGCUUGGAUGCCACGGGAGCCUGGCGGCGCCGGGAGCGGGGGCUCACGCUGUGGCUCGUUCCUGCUCCAGCCCCGGGAAGGAGUUUUGUGUUUCACUGUGCUGGAAAGCACCUGCCCCUUCGCCUGGGUUCCUCUCCCUCCUGCGGCUCCAGAAAGGUGCUGGGCUGGGCCGCGGUGCUCCAGCACAGCCCUCUCCCCUGUGUCUUCAUGGUUUUGCUUUUGGCUUAGAUGGAAGCGAGGAAGGGAUGACAGUGUGAAAAGCAGACAAGCCAGCCCGCAGAGGUGCUGCAGCCCCUGCUGGAGACUUAACUUCAGCGCACAGACCUGCUCCUCUGCGUGCUCCCUCCGCCUGCGCUUGCCGCCCGCCCCAGGGACCGAGCGGCAUCUGGGAGCAGGAGCGCUCCGGACCUUGCUCUCGCCCCGAUGCGAGGCUCGGCUGCAUCGGCCCCUUGCUCCCGUCCGUAGGCAGCGGCUUGCAGGCGCCUGGGUUCCUCCUGCCUCUGGAAAUGGGAACGGGGCAGAGAGGGGCCUGUCGCGCGCGAUUCCACUUGCUUCCAGCGGCAGGUCAGAGCGAGCGCUGGUCUCCCGGCCGCGUCCGUCUGCCUCCCCCGGGACGGGCAAACAAGGACGGGAGGGAGGUGGCAGGCGCAGAGCGUGCUUUCGCUGCCUUCGCACGGCCACCGUGGGGUUGUGGCACGCGGGCCGCCGGGCACAGCGGCGUGGGCUUUGUAGAGGGAUGCUGCAGUCACGUCUCCAGGUUUGUCCCCCGCUCAGCGGGUCUCUCCAGCCAGAGCCUCUCUCCAUCAGCACCGAGCCCUUUAAAACCUGUUUCAGAGCCUGCACAGGGAAGCUGCAGCCCUGA
rnacentral:lncRNA from 1 species